rnacentral:snRNA from 1 species
UCGCUUCUCAGCCUUUUGGCUAGGAUCAAGUGUAGUAUCUGUUCUUAUCAGUUUAA